AAAAAAACGAAAAACACGAAAAGCAGAAGGAUCAUAAAGAAGAGAAAGAAGGAGAGAGAGAGAAAGAGUGAGUGAGAGGAAGAGAUGAAGAAAUCAGGAGGAGCAGAGAAGAAAAGGGUGCGAAGAUCGUCAGGAGCCGUACAAAACGGCACCAGAGAUCCCAGUUCCGAUACCCCUCAUAUGGUUUGUUCUCUCCUCCUCUGAUCUAGCGUUCUCUUAUACAUUUACGUCCUAUAUACAUUACAUAUCAAGCAUUUUUAACCGUACAUUUCUUUCAAGGAGGAAGGGAAAAUGUCACAUUUUUUCCCUUUUGGGUUGUUGAGAUUGUCGAUAAGGCUACGCUAGAUUUGCACUCUUCGUUUCUUUUGCGCUCUAUUUGGUUUCUGGGAAAGGUCAGUGUAGAAACAUGAAGCGAGCAAGUUGUUUUCUCAUUAUUGUAAGACCGGGAAAAUUCGCGCUUACUAAGCUCUGAUUUAGGUGGGUCAGCUUUUUAAUGCUCCGUUGUGAAGCAACUUAAUGCACAAUUUUUACCUAAUGAGGAAAUUUGUGCUUGGUAUUAUUUUUAUGCGAUUGGGAUUCAACUGACCCAGGAUUGUUGGAUUUUCCUAGGAAGUUUGAUUAUUUACUUUUGCUUGUUUUCUUUUUUGCCUUCUUGCACAGCAGCCAAAUUUAGGUUUUUGAUCGUCUUAUUAUAACAAUUUGGGUCCACAUAACAAGAAGAGGAAGUUUGCUUUCCACAAACCCACACCCCACCCCCCCACCUCACCCACUUCCUGUAUCUGGUGAAUGGUGGAAUUUUGUCUAUUUGUAGUUAACGUUUAAAAGCUGUCAAGGGCAUUCAUCACUUAUGGUUUCUGAUUUUUUUACAAUUAUUUUUCUCUUUAGAAACAAUCUACAAAGAAGGAUGUGUUUCAGUUGUUUGCUGAGAAAGUGAGAGACCACAAAGAUUUGGUUUCUCGUUGGGCUGUUUUGCAGGAGACACGAGUCGAAUACUUUAGAGGGAAGGAUUUCGUAAAUUUCCUGAAAAAUCAUCCCGAGUUAAAAGAUAUAUUGGAACCAAAUAAAAGUUUAGAGGUUGAAGAGAUUGCUAAUACUCUAUUAAGAAAGAAUCUUUUAGUGCGCUGUGAUCGUGUGGUGAAAACAGUUCGUCCUGGGAAGAAAAAGUUCUGGCCAGCACAUUUAGAGAUCUUCCCUGAUCAAGUAUUUUCAGAAAAUGAUGCCUUUUUCGCAUGGACAUUUGUAAAACGGCAGCCACUGUGGCAGACACUUCUCUCAUUUUUUUGGCCGGUGUUGACUCUAGCAAUUUGCCUGUUUCCUGUAUAUCCCCAUCGGUGCAAAGUACUGAUUCUCUACGCAUGUGCAGGAGUUCUUUUACUUAUUCUCUCCCUGCUUUUAUUGAGAGCUACAAUAUUUGGUGCUCUAUAUAUCAUUCUUGGAAAGCGUGUUUGGUUUUUCCCCAACAUCCUUGCUGAAGAAGCUACAUUGCGAGAAUUAUUCCGUUUCUGGCCAAAGAAAGAUGAGGAGGAACGACCUACGUGGACAGCAAGACUUUUCUAUGCAGUAGUAGCUGUGCUGGUCAUAUUACUGUUGAGACAUCAUGCCCCUGAUGAGGCUGCUAGAGCUAGGUAUCAAAAACGGAUGUCAAACAUCAUUGAUGAUGUUCUUGAGUGGUCUCCAAGGCUUGCUCUGUCUGGGAUGAUAGAGAAACAGCAGACUGUGGUUAAUGCCACGGAGCCCAACAACAGUUUUGCAGAUGGGAGAAAAACAAACUCAGAGCACUCAGAGCAAUCUGGGGAUGAAGUAUUUGGAAACAUAGAUGACGUGGAUCAACCCCAGCAUGAAAAUCAUAUACAAGGAUAGAAAAAUGCAAUAUACUGAGCAGAAGACAGAUAUACUACCUUCUUUCUUUGGGUUUUUAUCUUUAGUUUUGAGUGUAAAACAAAACUGUAAUCAAACAGUGAAAUAAAGCAGUUGGCUUGUAAUGCCCCCUUAAUAGAAUUAUGAGAAUAGAUUACAAUGUUAAGUUCAGGGAAGUUGGUAAACGGUAAUGGACAUCAAACUAUAUUGAUCAUUUAUCUGAUACGCUCAGAUGCGUUCUCCAAAAAUAGCAACUUAUUGUUUCCACUGACAUGACUGCACAACAGUUACUGAUGAUAUUUUUCUUGGCAUCCUUUGGGAAGGAGAUGAGAUUGCUCUGUGGUCGCAGCCAGGCAUGCUCCCGAUAAGACGCUCUUCGACAGCCAGGCAGAUGCAUCACAACCGACUUUCUUUCUCCUUGGUUAAUCAUGAUCGAGCCUGUUUGUUCCAUUUGUAACCAAGUUACAUGCGAAUGGGACGGUUCCAAAGUUUUCCUGAGGGAAACUGUGGUCCCAUUCACCACUGAGAUAGUGGUUGGUUCAUCUUCUCCGGUGAGUCUUUUCAUUUUCGGACUGUGGAAAGCAAAUAAUUGAAGUGGGUUCCACUUGAACGAAGGCGUCCCUUAAUUGGCUCGCGUCAUUGCUGAUGAUCUUUUGGGAAUUGUUAUAAAGUGAGAAAUUUAAGAAUUUUG
rnacentral:misc_RNA from 1 species